UACGUAGGGUGCAAGCAUUAAUCGGAGUUAUUGGGCGUAAAGGGCGCGUAGGCGGUUGGCUAAGUCAAAUGUGAAAUUCCGGAGCUCAACUUCGGAGCUGCAUUUGAGACUGGUUGACUAGAGGAAUGGCGGAGAAAACGGAAUUCCACGUGUAGCGGUGAAAUGCGUAGAUAUGUGGAAGAACACCGGUGGCGAAAGCGGUUUUCUAGCUUUUUCCUGACGCUGAGGCGCGAGAGCAAGGGGAGCAAACAGG
rnacentral:rRNA from 1 species